UCAAGUUAUUAAGGGUGCAGGGCGGAUGCCUUGGCACUAGGAGCCGAUGAAGGACGUGAUAAGCUGCGAUAAGCUUCGGGGAGUUGCACGUAAACUUUGAUCCGAAGAUUUCCGAAUGAGGAAACUCACUUAGAGUAAUGUCUAAGUAUCAUUAAGUGAAUACAUAGCUUAAUGAGGGGAACUCAGGGAACUGAAACAUCUAAGUACCUGAAGGAAGAGAAAGAAAUUCGAUUCCGUAAGUAGCGGCGAGCGAACGCGGAUUAGCCCAAACCAAUAAAGUUUUCUUUAUUGGGGUUGCGGACAUAUCAUAACGAAGAGGUAUCGUAAUUGAAGAGGUUUGGAAAGACCCACCACAGAAGGUAAUAGUCCUGUAUGUUAAACGAGAAGACUUCAGAUAUGAUCCAGAGUACCACGGGACACGUGAAACCCUGUGGGAAGCAGGAGGGACCACCCUCCAAGGCUAAAUACUACCUAGUGACCGAUAGCGUAUAGUACCGUGAGGGAAAGGUGAAAAGAACCCCGGGAGGGGAGUGAAAUAGAACCUGAAACCCUGCACUUACAAGCUGUGGAAGCACAUUUCUUGUGUGACCGCGUACUUUUUGUAGAACGGGCCAACGAGUUACGUUAAGUAGCAAGGUUAAGCACUUAAGGUGCGGAGCCGUAGCGAAAGCGAGUUUUAACUGAGCGUUCAGUUACUUGACGUAGACCCGAAACCGGGCGACCUACCCAUGAGCAGGAUGAAGCGAAAGUAAAAUUUCGUGGAGGUCCGAACCCACGAGCGUUGAAAAGCUCGGGGAUGACUUGUGGGUAGCGGUGAAAUUCCAAUCGAGCCCGGAGAUAGCUGGUUCUCCCCGAAAUAGCUUUAGGGCUAGCCUCAAGGUGAGAGAUACGGAGGUAGAGCACUGAAUGUCCUAGGGGGUAUUGCACCUACCGAAGACUAUCAAACUCCGAAUGCCGUCAUCUUAUACUUGGGAGUCAGACUGUGGGUGAUAAGAUUCAUAGUCGAAAGGGCAACAGCCCAGAUCGUCAGCUAAGGUCCCUAAAUGUAAGUUAAGUGGUAAAGGAUGUGGGAUUGCACAGACAACCAGGAUGUUGGCUUAGAAGCAGCCACUCAUUCAAAGAGUGCGUAAUAGCUCACUGGUCGAGUGAUCCUGCGCCGAAGAUUUCCGGGGCUAAAACUUACUACCGAAGCUACGGCAUCAGUAAUGAUGGGUAGGGGAGCUUCCCAUACGGGUUGAAGCAUGACCGUAAGGACAUGUGGACAGUAUGGGAGUGAGAAUGUUGGCAUGAGUAGCGAGAUGUGGGUGAGAAUCCCACAGGCCGUAAACCCAAGGUUUCCAGGGGAAGGUUCGUCCGCCCUGGGUUAGUCGGGACCUAAGCUGAGGCCGAAAGGCGUAGGUGAUGGACAACAGGUUGAUAUUCCUGUACUACCGAUAACCGUUUGAGAGAAGGGAUGACACAGUAGGAUAAGCUAAGCACACUGUUGGUUAUGUGUGCCCAAGCAUUGAGGCAGUCAAAGUAGGCAAAUCCGCUUUGAUAAUGCUGGGAUGUGAUGGGGAGCGAAAUUUAGUAGCGAAGUAGCUGAUUUCACACUGUCAAGAAAAGUCUCUAUCGAGGUUAAAGGUACCCGUACCGCAAACCGACACAGGUGGGUGAGGAGAGUAUCCUAAGGUCAGCGAGAGAACUGUUGUUAAGGAACUCGGCAAAAUGACCCCGUAACUUAGGGAUAAGGGGUGCCACCAUCAGGUGGCCGCAGAGAAUAGGCCCAAGCGACUGUUUACCAAAAACAUAGGUUUCUGCUAAGUCGCAAGACGAUGUAUAGGAGCUGACGCCUGCCCGGUGCUGGAAGGUUAAGGGGAUCUGUUAGAGCAAUCGAAGCAGUGAACUUAAGCCCCAGUAAACGGCGGCCGUAACUAUAACGGUCCUAAGGUAGCGAAAUUCCUUGUCGGGUAAGUUCCGACCCGCACGAAAGGCGUAACGAUUUGGGCACUGUCUCAACAACAGACUCGGUGAAAUUGUAAUUCCGGUGAAGAUGCCGGAUACCUGCGACAGGACGGAAAGACCCCAUGGAGCUUUACUGUAGCUUGACAUUGGGUCUUGGUACUACAUGUACAGGAUAGGUGGGAGGCUUUGAAACCAGGACGCCAGUUUUGGCGGAGCCAUCCUUGGGAUACCACCCUUGUAGUACUGGGACUCUAACCAUAGGCCAUGAAUCUGGUCUUGGGACACUGUCAGGUGGGCAGUUUGACUGGGGCGGUCGCCUCCCAAAAGGUAACGGAGGCGCUCAAAGGUUCUCUCAGUACGGUCGGAAAUCGUACGUAGAGUGUAAAGGCAAAAGAGAGCUUGAUUGCAAGACAUACAGGUCGAGCAAGGAUGAAAAUCGGACUUAGUGAUCCGGUGGUUCUGCGUGGAAGGGCCAUCGCUCAACGGAUAAAAGCUACCCUGGGGAUAACAGGCUUAUUUCCCCCAAGAGUCCACAUCGACGGGGAGGUUUGGCACCUCGAUGUCGGCUCAUCACAUCCUGGGGCUGUAGUAGGUCCCAAGGGUUGGGCUGUUCGCCCAUUAAAGUGGUACGCGAGCUGGGUUCAGAACGUCGUGAGACAGUUCGGUCCCUAUCCGUCGCAGGCGUAGGAAAUUUGAGAAGACCUGUCCUUAGUACGAGAGGACCGGGAUGGACGUACCUCUGGUGUACCAGUUGUCCUGCCAAGGGCAUGGCUGGGUAGCUAUGUACGGAAUGGAUAAGCGCUGAAAGCAUCUAAGCGCGAAGCCAACUUCAAGAUAAGAUUUCCCACCGCAAGGGUAAGACCCCAGAAAGACUAUCUGGUUGAUAGGUCGAAGGUGUAAGUGCAGCAAUGUAUUUAGCUUAUCGAUACUAAUAGGUCGAGGACUUGACCAA
rnacentral:rRNA from 1 species